UACGUAGGGGGCAAGCGUUGUCCGGAUUUAUUGGGCGUAAAGAGCGUGUAGGCGGCCAGGUAGGUCUGCUGUGAAAACUCGAGGCUCAACCUCGAGACGUCGGCGGAAACCAUCUGGCUAGAGUCCGGAAGAGGAGAGUGGAAUUCCUGGUGUAGCGGUGAAAUGCGUAGAUAUCAGGAGGAACACCGGUGGCGAAGGCGGAUUUCUGGACCAGUUCUGACACUGAUGAGCGAAAGCCAGGGGAGCAAACAGG
rnacentral:rRNA from 1 species